GGAGACGUGGCCGAGUGGUCGAAGGCGCUCCCCUGCUAAGGGAGUAGGCGGGUAACCGUCUCGAGGGUUCGAAUCCCUUCGUCUCCGCCA
rnacentral:tRNA from 2 species